GCUGUGCACAGGAGCAUGUGGCGUUGUGCAUUCCCUUCGUGGACGGCCGACGUAACUUGCCUUUCGGCCUUUCUCGGUACUUUUAUUUUGUUUUGUGACCUUUAUUAUAUUUUCUUGCAUGUUUGUUUGGCUUGUUUCUGGUUUGGAAUUGUACAUUUGGCCACUUUGCCGCGACCUGGCACCUGUGAUUUUUUGAGGAUUGUUCUUUUGCCGAUGUAGCCGUGUUCUUUUGUUCUGUUCGAUUGUGGGACUGAAGAUGGUGCGAUUUGUACUGGGGGCGUUUUCGUUUGGUAAAGGUUUAUGAUUUCCAC
rnacentral:lncRNA from 1 species